rnacentral:rRNA from 1 species
AUUGAACGCUGGCGGCAUGCCUUACACAUGCAAGUCGAACGGCAGCACGGGUGCUUGCACCUGGUGGCGAGUGGCGAACGGGUGAGUAAUAUAUCGGAACGUACCUUAUUGUGGGGGAUAACGCAGCGAAAGCUGUGCUAAUACCGCAUAAUCCCUAAGGGGGAAAGCGGGGGACCGUAAGGCCUCGCGCAAUUAGAGCGGCCGAUACCUGAUUAGCUAGUUGGUGAGGUAAAGGCUCACCAAGGCGACGAUCAGUAGCUGGUCUGAGAGGACGAUCAGCCACACUGGGACUGAGACACGGCCCAGACUCCUACGGGAGGCAGCAGUGGGGAAUUUUGGGACAAUGGGGGGCAACCCUGAUCCAGCAAUGCCGCGUGAGUGAAGAAGGCCUUCGG